UGCAGUCGAGGGGCAUCAGGAAGAAAGCUUGCUUUCUUUGCUGGCGACCGGCGCACGGGUGAGUAACACGUAUCCAACCUGCCCUUUACUCGGGGAUAGCCUUUCGAAAGAAAGAUUAAUACCCGAUAGCAUAAUGAUUCCGCAUGGUUUCAUUAUUAAAGGAUUCCGGUAAAGGAUGGGGAUGCGUUCCAUUAGGUUGUUGGUGAGGUAACGGCUCACCAAGCCUUCGAUGGAUAGGGGUUCUGAGAGGAAGGUCCCCCACAUUGGAACUGAGACACGGUCCAAACUCCUACGGGAGGCAGCAGUGAGGAAUAUUGGUCAAUGGGCGCUAGCCUGAACCAGCCAAGUAGCGUGAAGGAUGAAGGCUCUAUGGGUCGUAAACUUCUUUUAUAUAAGAAUAAAGUGCAGUAUGUAUACUGUUUUGUAUGUAUUAUAUGAAUAAGGAUCGGCUAACUCCGUGCCAGCAGCCGCGGUAAUACGGAGGAUCCGAGCGUUAUCCGGAUUUAUUGGGUUUAAAGGGAGCGUAGGUGGACUGGUAAGUCAGUUGUGAAAGUUUGCGGCUCAACCGUAAAAUUGCAGUUGAUACUGUCAGUCUUGAGUACAGUAGAGGUGGGCGGAAUUCGUGGUGUAGCGGUGAAAUGCUUAGAUAUCACGAAGAACUCCGAUUGCGAAGGCAGCUCACUGGACUGCAACUGACACUGAUGCUCGAAAGUGUGGGUAUCAAACAGGAUUAGAUACCCUGGUAGUCCACACAGUAAACGAUGAAUACUCGCUGUUUGCGAUAUACAGUAAGCGGCCAAGCGAAAGCAUUAAGUAUUCCACCUGGGGAGUACGCCGGCAACGGUGAAACUCAAAGGAAUUGACGGGGGCCCGCACAAGCGGAGGAACAUGUGGUUUAAUUCGAUGAUACGCGAGGAACCUUACCCGGGCUUAAAUUGCAGUGGAAUGAUGUGGAAACAUGUCAGUGAGCAAUCACCGCUGUGAAGGUGCUGCAUGGUUGUCGUCAGCUCGUGCCGUGAGGUGUCGGCUUAAGUGCCAUAACGAGCGCAACCCUUAUCUUUAGUUACUAACAGGUUAUGCUGAGGACUCUAGAGAGACUGCCGUCGUAAGAUGUGAGGAAGGUGGGGAUGACGUCAAAUCAGCACGGCCCUUACGUCCGGGGCUACACACGUGUUACAAUGGGGGGUACAGAAGGCAGCUAGCGGGUGACCGUAUGCUAAUCCCAAAAUCCUCUCUCAGUUCGGAUCGAAGUCUGCAACCCGACUUCGUGAAGCUGGAUUCGCUAGUAAUCGCGCAUCAGCCACGGCGCGGUGAAUACGUUCCCGGGCCUUGUAC
rnacentral:rRNA from 1 species